GAUGAACGCUGGCGGCGUGCUUAACACAUGCAAGUCGAACGGUAACGCCCAAGCUUGUUUGGAUACUCGAGUGGCGAACGGGUGAGUAACACGUGGGUGAUCUGCCCUGCAGUUCGGGUUAAGGCUGGGGUACUGGGUCUAAUAUAGGAUCUGACGAUGGAUUGGAUGCACUGGAGGACAGCUCUUUCGUUGUGCGACGAACUUGCGGCGUGUCAGCUUGUUGGUGGGGUAAUGGCCUAGCAAGGCGUCGACGGGUAGCCGGCCUGAGAGGGUGUACGGCCGCACUAGAACUGUACGGCGGCCCAGACUGGGACAUGUGGCAGCAGGGGGGAAUGUUGGACAAUGGACGCAAGCCUGAUGCAGGAACGCCUCGUGGGGGAUGACGGCCUUCGUGUGGUAAACUCCUGUUGCGAGGGACGAAGCGUGUUUGUGACGGUACCUGGAGAAGAAGCACCGGCUAACUACGUG
rnacentral:rRNA from 1 species